ACCGCGAGUCCCCGGGUACUAGGCUGAGCGCAUUGUUCUGUUCUCGCAGCGCUCCGGUUAGCGGUUGUCUCUCUCGGUUCACCGCAGCCUGACUGGCUGGGUUCUCAGCCCCUACGGUUACGCGUCCUCGCUCUCUGCCGGAUUACUCCCCUGGGAGAUGCUAGCUGUAUGUCAUGAGGACGCUCAGACGUUACUGUGGAGAGGCUGAUGUGGUGAGGAACUGAGAAGAGGCCUCUUGCCAGCCAUCAGCACUAACCUGUCAGAGGAGGACAUUCAGUCUUGAAAGAAUGGGACAAAAAAUUAAAAGGCCUGUCCAACGACAUUCACUGGCCCAUUGCCUGGGGCACUUUCUGUAAGUCAUCGCAUGUGAGCCUUAUGACAACCUGCCCAUGAGAUGUGACUAUCACCACUUUACCCAUAAAGAAAAACUGAUUCUCUUAGUUCCUUCUUUCACAAAAUGGGAAUAUUAAUUGUUUUUCUCUCCUUUUUGAAGAUUAAAUGAGUUAAUGCACAUUAAGCUACUAGUGUCACUGUACACACCAAGUACUCACAAAUUGUUAGCAAUUACUGUUAUUGCCUUAGAUCUCAACACUAGCAUGUGGCAGGAGAGGGAGGAUUAAAAGCCAGGGCCACCUGAUUUCAGAACCAUGAACUUUUCGCUACGCCUUGACCCCAGGUGGGGAUUUAACAAUAACGCAUGACACAGCAAUAUGAAAUUGCAAUAGGUGCAAAACACAAUGAAGUGUCAAAGGCAGGUUGAGGAAAGAGUAGGAGAUCUGUGCAUUCGUAUUCAGGCAAGGAAGCCACUGAGUGUGAAGCACAAGAUAUAGAAAUAAAAAAUCUGGAUGUUUGGAUGGUGGCUGCUGCUGGGCUUCAGCUUCCAGUCAGGGAGGGUGAAGUGGCCAAGACAAGCACCCUGGCCCCCUGCGCCCUGCUGCUGAAGACCAGGGUGGCGGUGGGAGACAGAGUAGCAGAUAAAACUUGCUUCCUGAUCAGUGACGCAACCAGUGCAUUUCCUGGAGUAUAGAUCCCCACUAUCUUUGAUAACCAUUCUUCUAAUAUUAUGGCAG